rnacentral:rRNA from 1 species
UACAGAGGGGGCAAGCGUUGUUCGGAAUUACUGGGCGUAAAGGGCGCGUAGGCGGCCUUCUAAGUCAGACGUGAAAUCCCCGGGCUCAACCCGGGAACUGCGUCUGAGACUGGAAGGCUCGAAUCCGGGAGAGGGAUGUGGAAUUCCAGGUGUAGCGGUGAAAUGCGUAGAUAUCAGGAGGAACACCGGUGGCGAAGGCGGAUCUCUGGGCCUUACCUGACGCUGAGGCGCGAAAGCUAGGGGAGCGAACAGG